rnacentral:rRNA from 1 species
UAAUACGUAGGUGGCGAGCGUUGUCCGGAUUCACUGGGCGUAAAGCGCGCGCAGGCGGGCUGAUCAGUCCGGGGUGAGAGCUCACGGCUUAACCGUGAGUGGUCCCCGGAUACUGUCAGUCUUGAGGUGUCUAGGGGAGAGCGGAAUUCCCGGUGUAGUGGUGGAAUGCGUAGAUAUCGGGAGGAACACCAGCGGCGAAGGCGGCUCUCUGGGGACGGCCUGACGCUGAGGCGCGAAAGCGUGGGGAGCGAACCGGAUUAGAUACCCGGGUAGUCCACGCCGUAAACGAUGAGCACUAGCUGUCUGGGGUAUCGACCCCCUGGGUAGCGAAGCUAACGCGAUAAGUGCUCCGCCUGGGGACUACGGCCGCAAGGCUA